AACGCAGUAUCUAGUACACGUAAGAGCCCAAUCAAUUGUACCUUUGGACAACAGCGCUAGCAGUAUGCUAGGUACUAGAAUGGGUUUUCCCAUAAUGCUUGAUUGAGAACUGGAAGUAAAGCAAAUGAAGCAAACAGUAACUCAAGCAAGGCCAGUUUUGGCCUUAAGCUGCCAGCCUAUGUCAAUAGGAACUGAAUGAGUAUGGCUUCCUGAUCCCGGUGGAAACUUCAGUGGCCCCAUAGAGGUGAUACAGAGUGAAUGCCAUCUCUGCCAUGGCUGCGGAACCCCAAGCCAAGGAACUCAAAUCUUUUAUCAUGAUCUGCAAGAAUCCCUACCUGACGUUUGCAGGGUGGGGGGGAAGGACGGUGGAUAUAGAUAUUGUCUUUAUUGUGCUAGACAAUACACAAACCAAUUCUCUGCUCUUGAGGGAGACCGUCGGAAAAUCAGGCCAUCUGGACCUCUGCUUGCAAGAGAGGAAGCAACAUGAGAAAUCCAUGAAAAAUUGUUUCCCAGGAGAAAUUAUCUGAAAAAUAGCAAUCUGAGUAUGAAUGGUUUGGGAUAUUUCACAUAAGUUUUGUAAGAUCAGGUUUCUUACCUGUUGCUAUGGACUAAAUGUUUAUCCCUCCUGCCCACCAAAGUCACGUUGAAGCUCUAAUCACUACUGUGCUAGUAAUUGGAGGUGGGGCCUUUGGGAGGUAAUAAGGUCCCGAGGGCAGAACCCUCAUGAAUGGAAUUCGUGAACUUCUAAGAGAAGAUGAUGAUCUCUUUCUGCCAUUGAGGAUACAGAAGAGGGGCAUGUGCAAAUCAAAGAGACUGUCUUCAACAGACACUGAAGCUGCUGGCACCUUGAUCUUGGGCUUGCCAGCCUCCAGCACUGUGAGAAAUAAAUGUUUGUUGUUUAAGCCCCCCCGAGUCUAUGGUGCUUUGUUAAAGCAGUCCAUGUUGACUAAGACACCUGUUGUCAGUCUUAUAAAUACAGAUAAAUAUGUACACCUACAGAUAAAUAUGUAAUAGAACUUCAAUUAAUAUUUACUGUCGAAUAAAUAUUUAGUGUCUAACAA